AUUGAACGCUGGUGGCAGGCCUAACACAUGCAAGUCGAACGAGUGGCGGACGGGUGAGUAAUGUCUGGGAAACUGCCUGAUGGAGGGGGAUAACUACUGGAAACGGUAGCUAAUACCGCAUACCAUCGGAUGUGCCCAUAUGGGAUUAGCUGGUAGGUGGGGUAACGGCUCACCUAGGCGACGAUCCCUAGCUGGUCUGAGAGGAUGAGCAGCCACACUGGAACUGAGACACGGUCCAGACUCCGACGGGAGGCAGCAGUGGGGAAGAUUGCACAAUGGGCGCAAGCCUGAUGCAGCCAUGCCGCGUGUAUGAAGAAGGCCUUCGGGUUGUAAAGUACUUUCAGCGGGGAGGCGUUACCGACAGAAGAAGCACCGGCUAACUCCGUGCCAGCCGCCGCGGUAAUAC
rnacentral:rRNA from 1 species